GGGAUUUUGUAUUAGUGGAUCUAUCAGAGAAUUACAUCGAGAAUAUAACCGCAUUGGACGUUAGAUCUUUUGCAAAUCUUCGCUAUCUGUACUUAUCGAACAAUAAAAUCAAACGCCUGAGUAA